GACGAACGCUGGCGGCGUGCUUAACACAUGCAAGUCGAACGAAGUGGCGAACGGGUGAGUAACGCGUAAUCAACCUGCCCUUCAGAGGGGGACAACAGUUGGAAACGACUGCUAAUACCGCAUAGUGACGGAGGGGCAUGCGUUGGAUUAGCUAGUUGGAGGGGUAAAGGCCCACCAAGGCGAUGAUCAGUAGCCGGUCUGGGGGGAUGAACGGCCACAUUGGGACUUGGGCACGGCCCAGACUCCUACGGGAGGCAGCAAUGGGGAAUCUUCCGCAAUGGACGAAAGUCUGACUGAGCAACGCCGCGUGAGUGAUGACGGCCUUCGGGUUGUAAAGCUCUGUUAAUCGGGACGCGGUACCGGAAUAGAAAGCCACGGCUAACUACGUGCCAGCAGCCGCGGUAAUAC
rnacentral:rRNA from 1 species